UACGUAGGGCGCGAGCGUUAUCCGGAAUUAUUGGGCGUAAAGAGCUCGUAGGCGGUUUGUCACGUCUGCUGUGAAAACUGGAGGCUCAACCUCCAGCCUGCAGUGGGUACGGGCAGACUAGAGUGCGGUAGGGGAGAUUGGAAUUCCUGGUGUAGCGGUGGAAUGCGCAGAUAUCGGGAGGAACACCAGUGGCGAAGGCGGUUGCCUGGAGCUUUGCUGACGCUGAGGCGCGAAAGCGUGGGGAGCGAGCCGG
rnacentral:rRNA from 1 species